rnacentral:lncRNA from 1 species
AGGUAGCCAGGUUAUCAACCAGCACAGACUUCACUCAGAGCCUCUAAUCAGCAGGACCCCUUGGAAAAACACACAGCCUGCAAGGGAUAAUCACUGCUUGGAAGAUAUGUUAUGCAAAAUAUGUUCUUUUUGUGCGAAUACCACAAGGCACUGAAUUGGCUCCUAGCAGGAACAACCAUGGAAGCUGAUAGAAUUAUCUCACCAAUUUUUACUGUUUGGGAAUAUUCCUAAAAUUUUAACUUCAUUUCUUGAUUUUAUAUCACUGGAGAGAAGUACUAACAAAUCAGGACUGGGAUAAUAAAAUAUACUGCCGAAAAUAAGAAGAGAACUUCUAUCAGUUUGUUGAAUGGCAUACCAGAGUAUUUGGUGUUUUUCGUUUUGCUACAUAUUUUGCCCAACAGUUGCAGUUUGCCUUCCCAAAGAAAAUUCACAUGCCCAGAAGGCACCAACCUCAACCUUUCUGUGAAUGGUGGAUUAAAGAGUACAAAAACAGGCCGGGUGCAGUGGCUCACGCCUGUAAAGACACAGUGUGCUGAUUGGUGCGUUUUUACAGAGUGCUGAUUGGGGCAUUUACAAUCCUUUACCUAGACACAGAGUGCUGAUUGGUGCAUUUUUAGAGAGUGCUGAUUGGCACAUUUAUAAUCCUUUAGCUAGACACAGAGCACUGAUUGGUGCGUUUUUAGAGAAUGCUGAUUGGUGCAUUUACAAUCCUUUAGCUAGACACAGAGUGCUGAUUGGUGCAUUUUUACAAAGUGCUGAUUGGUGCAUUUAUAAUCCCCUAACUAGACCCAGAGCACCGAUUGGUGUGUUUACAAUCCUCUAGCUAGACAGAAAAGUUCUCCGAGUCCCCACUUGACCCAGGAAGUCCCGCUGGCUUCACCUCUCACUACCACAAAUAAAGAACUAGCAUAAGCCAAACAUUUUAUAUUUAUUAAAACCUCUUUCCCUUCUGGGUUACAAUAUUAGUAUUUUGCUCCUAUUUCUGACCUUCAGAGUAAUAAUUAUAGAUCUGAGCUGCCCGGGGUUUGCCUGUAUCCUCCCUAGAUUAUAACAUUUUGUAUUCCUUUAUAUUUAGAUUUACUUUUUAGGCUAAUCUUAUGACACAUAGUGACACUCAGAAGCUCAGUGUUUACUAUUUGUCUUACAAAGAAAUGAAAGCUCCAUUCAUAUGCAACUGUUCCAACUGUGUCCAGGUAUACUCAUUCAUGUAGUCAAUAAACAGUUAGUGGGAAGCCUCUCUAUUCUAGGCACUGUUGUCUGUACCGGAGACACAGCAGUGAGCAGAUAGGCAGACAUGCCUCCUCUUGAGGAGAUCAUAUGCUAGAGGAGGAGAUGGAUGAUACACAAGAAAAACACAUGAAAUUUAAGUAUGUUAGAUAGUGAAUUCCAUGAAAGGGAUCCCUGAGAUGGGUAGGGGCAUGGGUUACAACUUUACAUAAAGGGGACUGGGGAAACCUCAUCAGGAAGGUGACAUUUAAGUAGAGACCUUAAUUAAGGAGGUCAGAAAGAAGAAACAUCGUAAGCAGAGAGAGUAGCAGAUGCAAAGGUCCUGUGGUGACAGCAUGCUGUGGACACUGUGUGUGCUCUAGAAACAGCAGGGAAGCCGCAUCAGUGGACCAGACAGAGUGAGGAGAGGGAACAGCAAUAAGAGGUGAGAUCAGAGAGUAUAUGGUGGAAAGUGAGUGGUGAAAGAAGGUAGCAGAUCCAGUAAAGCCAUACAGGCUAUAUGGAUCCAGGCUCUUUGUUUGUCUGUUUCCUUAAUGUGUAAAAAACAUUGGAAGUUAUAAGCCAAAGUGCCAUAAUCUAACUUACAUUUUAACAGGCUUACUGUGGCAGUGUUAGAAUAGACUUGAGGUCAAGAUCAGAAGGGAGAUCACACAAAAGAAUAUGACAAUAAUCCCAGUAAGGAAUUAUAAUGGCUUGGAUGGAGGUGGCAGUGAUAGAAAGGUUAAGGAUUUAUCAGAUUCUAAUAAAGACAGUGGAUAACGACAACAUAUUCUGAUGAAGUCCAGAUGCCAUAAUGUAGAUGGAACUUCAUCAUCCAAGUGCCCUGGUCACUCCUUGCCUCUCAUGCCACAUUCCAGCCACCUUGACCUGCCUCCAUUUCCCCUGGCGCCCUGCCCUCUCGCCCUAGCAGAUGCUAACCUGCUGUCACCCGGCAGGACUCAAGCUUGAAUUCACCUCCUCCAAGGAACCUUCAAAGCCCUCAUCACACUAGUUCUAUGUUUACUUGUCUACCCCCCACCACACCAUUACACUUCUAGCUGCUUGAAAUUCUAUUCUUUGACUUGGUCAAGGUUACAUCCUUGUGGUUUAAACAGUGUUUGCCAUAAAAUCGACACUCAUAAAUCUCUGUUUAAUGAAUGAGUGAAAUCCCAUUUUUAUUUCGUGCUUUUAAAUUUACUUAAUUGCUCUUUCCUCAUUUGUAAAAUUGGGUAAUAACUUCCUUACUAAUUUUGUUGAUGUGAAGAUGUAAGUAUCCAAGAUAGAUACAGGCAGAGAAGAGGCACACAGACAUUUCUAUAGCUUAACUCAUGGAUUUUCAGUUUAUACAACUAAGGAAGGCUGUCCUAUUUUGGCUGACUUUCUCUGCCUUUUGAAAAAAAUGUCUCCACUUUUUAUUUAAAGUGCUACUUUACAUUUUUGAAUGCUUACUUUACCUUUUAAAAUAUUAGCCGAAGGAUAGGGAAAAGACGUUGGAUUCAGUGAGAAACAAACCAAACUUUUGCAAGAGCUUUGCUUAUUCCAACAAAAACAGUACUGUGAAUCCCCCCAAAGGGAGAGUGGGUGCUGACCUAAUCUUGUUUGCUUUCCUAUUCAGUAUUCUUCCCUACCAGCCUCCCUGGGGGCCUUAAAAGGAAUUACCAAACUGCACAAAGAACUGCCUUGAUGGUCAUGCUUACGUGGUGUUUCUGGUCUAAUGGACGAGUGAUGUUGAAAUAACAGAAAAGUGCAUUUUUUCAUUUUUAUUUUGAUAGCUUAACAUUUUUAGGAAGUCUGUCUUCCUCUCCAAAGAAGUAUCACAUAGAAACAGCAAAUUGAUUGCUUAGUAGGAAAAAAAAUACCAUCAUACUCCCCGGGAGAAACUGAAAUGAUCAUUAAUUUAAGUAAUUGUAGCCUCUAUUUGUUGGUAUUUACUAUAUAGGCUAAACAGGCACUGGGAUGAGUGAAUAUUCUCAUUUACCACCCACUGCCCUAGAAGUCUGUGAAAUGUAUACUGGUAUUAUCACCAUUUUGCAUGUAUGGAAUAUGAAGCUUAAAGUGAUAUAGUAGUAACUUGCCUAAGGUUACAUAGCCUUCUAAGCGGCAGAACCUAUAGACUAGUGACUCCAUGAUACACAUUUCACUCAAGAAGUGCCUUUUCAUUUGUAUCUUCCCAUUUUAUGAAUCUUAUAUCAAGGCUUUCC